rnacentral:lncRNA from 1 species
AAGAGACUCUCAGAAGUAGACUGAAGAGGAAUUAUGGCCUCUCUUUUGCAGAUGACAGCACUGAGAUACAGAACCUUUGUCUGUGAGGAGAGUCACAGCAGAAAGUGGAUUUCUUUUUGAUGCUGCCAUGGUACUGCUUGACUACCCAAUGCCCACCUUCUCCCCUGUAUCCUGCAUCACACUGUGCACAUCCUGUAUUCCUCUCCUACACUGGGCUGUGAGUUUAACGAGCCCUUGCUCAAGAUGUUGGGUAUGAUGUACACUCCUACCAUGAUGUGCCAGUUACCUGCCACCAUCAUCAGAGACCAAAACAAAUGGGACCAUCUGGUCUUCUAUGGUGAGCCUUGACAUAAGAACAGCCAUGAUUCACCUUUGAUUAAACCUGGACCCAGCCUACGUGCCUGUGCCAUGGCAGCCUGUUGUCUGAUUCCCAGUGGGUAGCCCAUCACCCUAUGUUGCCAUAGUAAUGUAACCCAUAAUAGUUGUUUUGUAGAGCAUUGUGACCUUUGCAGUCAGCUACACCCUGUUCACACUUAUGGUUUCGGUUUUAGCCUAUAUCUACUCCACCC